rnacentral:pre_miRNA from 1 species
UCGUAUGGAUGAGCAAAGGAAGUGGUUUCUUGAGCUGGAAACUGUUUCCCAUGAAAAUUCUGUGAA